GAUGAAGAACGCAGCGAAAUGCGAUAAGUAAUGUGAAUUGCAGAAUUCAGUGAAUCAUCGAAUCUUUGAACGCACAUUGCGCCCCCUGGUAUUCCGGGGGGCAUGCCUGUCCGAGCGUCAUUACAACCCUCAAGCUCAGCUUGGUAUCGGGCCCCGCCGACCCGGCGGGCCCUAAAGUCAGUGGCGGUGCCGUCCGGCUCCGAGCGUAGUAAUUCUUCUCGCUCUGGAGGUCCGGUCGUGUGCUCGCCAGCAACCCCCAAUUUUUUUCAGGUUGACCUCGGAUCAGGUAGGGAUACCCGCUGAACUUAAGCAUAUCAAUAAGCGGAGGA
rnacentral:misc_RNA from 1 species